GCCUGGGUGGCUCAGUUGGUUAAGCGUCCGACUUCGGCUCAGGUCAUGAUCUCGCGGUCCGUGGGUUCGAGCCCCGUGCCAGGCU
rfam:Felis catus isolate Cinnamon breed Abyssinian chromosome A2, whole genome shotgun sequence.